rnacentral:rRNA from 1 species
UGAGGCGUGGCUUCCGGAGCUAACGCGUUAAGUCGACCGCCUGGGGAGUACGGCCGCAAGGUUAAAACUCAAAUGAAUUGACGGGGGCCCGCACAAGCGGUGGAGCAUGUGGUUUAAUUCGAUGCAACGCGAAGAACCUUACCUGGUCUUGACAUCCACGGAAGUUUUCAGAGAUGAGAAUGUGCCUUCGGGAACCGUGAGACAGGUGCUGCAUGGCUGUCGUCAGCUCGUGUUGUGAAAUGUUGGGUUAAGUCCCGCAACGAGCGCAACCCUUAUCCUUUGUUGCCAGCGGUCCGGCCGGGAACUCAAAGGAGACUGCCAGUGAUAAACUGGAGGAAGGUGGGGAUGACGUCAAGUCAUCAUGGCCCUUACGACCAGGGCUACACACGUGCUACAAUGGCGCAUACAAAGAGAAGCGACCUCGCGAGAGCAAGCGGACCUCAUAAAGUGCGUCGUAGUCCGGAUUGGAGUCUGCAACUCGACUCCAUGAAGUCGGAAUCGCUAGUAAUCGUGGA